GGGCACUCUGGAAGGACUGCCAUCGACAAGAUGGAGGAAGGUGGGGAUGACGUCAAGUCAUCAUGGCCCUUAUGUCCAGGGCGACACACGUGCUACAAUGGCCGGCACAACGGGAAGCGAGUUCGCGAGGACGAGCGGAUCCCUCAAAGCCGGUCGCAGUUCGGAUUGAAGUCUGCAACUCGACUUCAUGAAGCUGGAAUCGCUAGUAAUCGUGGAUCAGCCAAGCCGCGGUGAAUACGUUCCCGGGCCUU
rnacentral:rRNA from 1 species